rnacentral:rRNA from 1 species
AGCGAACGCUGGCGGCAUGCCUAACACAUGCAAGUCUGACGGGCUCAGGGUUUCGGCCUUGGGUCAGUGGCGGACGGGUGAGGAGCGCGUAGGAACGUAUCUUGGGGUGGGGGACAACCGCGGGAAACUGCGGCUAAUACCGCAUGGGGCCUGAGGGCCAAAGCUUGAGAGAUCGAGCGCCUGGAGAGCGGCCUGCGUCCGAUUAGCUUGUUGGUGGGGUAACGGCCUACCAAGGCGGUGAUCGGUAGCUGGUCUGAGAGGAUGAUCAGCCACACUG